CACAACUUUCCAGAAAGCAAUCAAAGACCUGCGACAUUAUCUGAAAAUGGCGACCAAAAUUGAUUUUGAAAUUAAAUCUCUAAUAUUACGUCAACUGAUUGCAAUGAUUACAGAACUGAACUGAAGAUACAAAUUUGUAAGAUGGAGACCUAUUGGUGGCACCAAGAUUUGGAACAAUGGUGAUAUAGCUACCUCUUGGAGGUUUGCAAGUCAAACCUUCUGACCUUCACUGUGGUUGUUUAAUUACAGUGUACUGGUAUGUACACAAUGCACUUUGAAUCAUUAAAGGUCUGGUGGUGGCGGGGGUGAGAAAUGUUAACAUUGAGGAACACAUGGGUUUAGAUGCAAAUGGGGAUGUUUAAUUUGUCGAAAAUGUCAAUGUGACCAGGAGGCAGCUGCAAUGCGGUGAUUUCUGUGUUUAAUUUGGCCACAUUUGGCUUGUAUCUGUAUCCUCCUUCAGCAAGGUGGUGUGUCAAUUUAAAUCAGUGUAUUGAAAUAGUAUUUUAACAGGCAUUUAAAUUUAAUUGCACCUGCAUGGAUUCCCUGGGCUCCAUGAAACUCACCAAUGAAACCAAGGUGCAAAGAGAAUGGUAAUUAUUAUGGGGCUUAUUAAAAGCCAUACAUGCAACAGCAAUAAAUAUGGAGAGCUCAUUGCCGCAUUCUAAUCUCCCAAUAGGAAAGGAUUUGUUGAGAAUACUUGUGGCGAGAGGUUAAUUUGUGCACUUUGGAGAUACUAAGUUCAGGAUGGAUGAAGCUAUGACUGUCUUAGAUUAGACCUCAGAUGAUGAGCAAGAUGACCAUCAACAGCAGCCAAAGCAACAAUAGCAUGCAGGUGAUCAGCAGAGCAGGGAGCAACAGAGGGGAUGAACUCACAUGAGGCACUAUCAGUGUAACCGGGUGUUCAGGUGAAGGGUAGGCUUCCUUACACCCUGGAAGACCUCUACUCUCGGAAGCUGAGGUUGUCAUAUCAGGUGGAGUCAGGCAUCUGCAGUCUCCUAAAUGUACAUCUGUUGGCAACACGUUACCAGUGGCUGUGAGAGUGAUCACUGUUCUCAACUUAUUUGCUUCCAAAAUAGAUUUUAAAUUUAAAUGGCAAGCCAGCAGGUUUACCAAGGCACCCACUCAACAGUGGAAUUCCAAAGGCUUCCCUCCACUUUUGGUUACUGGACACUGCAGACUUCUGCAAAAGUGGUUGGAGGCAUCCCCAAGGCUGUUUUACGUGGUCCUCUUAGAUCUUACAUGACCCCACAACAUACCUUUCCAUUCUCUUUAUAUAUGUUUCUCUCUCUUUAAUCUGUAAGUUCCAUUGUUCUAUAUAUCUUUGGAAGUUUACUUUUCCCAUAAUAUAAAAAUCUUUCAUGUUGCCAAUAUGGUCAGUACCUUUGGAAAAAUAAACCCCUGCUUGGCCUUACUUAUCUUGUUAGUUGUAAACAUCCUAUCAUCCCUUUGAAACCUAAACAACUCUUGCCCUUCACUUAUCGAAAAAUGCAAAUUUCCUUCACACCCAACAUGCUCAGCCUUCAUCCAUGUUUCCUCAUUAGCAUUUCAAAUGCUUUUUACCCCUAACUUGUUUUGAUAAUUUCAAGCUUUCAGUCUAUCUGACUCUAAUUCAAUUAAAUCAGCAAUACAGAUGCUGACACCCAUAAGCCUACUUUACAAUAAACCACAAUAAUAUCAUGAAAAAAAUAUUAGUUUCAUGACAAAUUGCUCCACCAAUGCCAUGCCAGACUUGGUCAUCAGGAGAGAAAGCAACAGGUUGGGUACUGAUUGUAGUGGAGGUGGGUCAACAUGUACCACCUCUCGUUCUCUCUCUAUCCCUUGAAAUCUCUGUUAUCUUCUACUGCAAUGAUGGAAUGAACAGGCCAAUGAAUAGCGGCAUGGCAUAUCUGCAGUUUGGUGAGUGUGACUACUGAGGACAAGAAUUGAACUGUGUAACGCUCAGGGGUGAGUGGCAGUGCUGAAUUGAUACAUAGGGAUUUGACAAAGUCCAUAGAAAUGCAACAAGAGGCAAAUGUGUGUAAAGAGUUAUGAAAUAGGUUUGACAAGGCAGAGUGAGGGGGUGGAAGGGUGUGGUGUGUGGAGAAUAAAUUGUGCAACUCUCCAUUCCUGACAUGAUUAGGUCAUUAAAGCACUUCUUGCACUGCAUCCAGGAAACUGACUGAGUGAGUUGGAUUUUCCUGGCAUCCUGGAGACAGGGAUGGAGGAAGGGAGCUAGGAAAAUAGCGGGGAGACACAUAAGGACGGCUUCCAAUGCAUUCCCUCAUGGAAUGUUACUCUGGGGGACUCCCGCAUGUGGGCUAGCAGCCAAUUAGUCCAAUUAAGGUCCCACGUAGGGGUUUUUUUUAAUGGCGUUGAAGUAGCCCCCCAUGUUAUGCUGAGGCUUCCAGUUCAAUUGAAGCGUCCUCCCAGCAGCAGAUCAGUGGGCCAGCGGAGAGGCUCCACUCUCCCUACUGAUGGGGCCAUGAUGAAAGGCUGCACUCGUGGCCAUGCCCAAUCCCGCAGACGGUUACCCCUCCAUCCCAAUGUUCUUUUUGGCAGCAGGAGUCUUCACUGCAGCCCUUCUAUUUUGGCCAGCGAGGGGUGUCUCCAUGUUGAGGCAUCUUCAUGGUCCCUGACCUGCCUCACAGCAUGAACCUCUCUCAGUGGGGCUGCUGAGACUCCAGAGCUGCCAGCUCUCUGAUUGGGCCAGCAACAUUGGGAGUCCAUCUACCAUCCUUAAUAGGAUGGUGAAGGUCGAGGCAGUAAAUUAGGACCCUGCAUUCUGGAAGAUUGUGCUGCCAAUCUCGCUGCUGUCGUGCCGACUUGAGACCCAUUUGGCCCCAACUUUGGGGUUUCAAAGCCUGUAGGAAAAUCCAGGCCAAUGGCCACCUCCAACCACACUUGUUUUCUUUGUUACAGCAAUAUGUUUCUUACCAGCAUUGCUGGGGAAUUGUAUCUUUCUCCCACUCCUCACUGCACCCACAGUGCAUCAAGCAAUACUUCAAUAAAUUGUGAUGCGGUCCUUGACUGUCCUGAAUCCAUGAUGAAGCUUAUCCCUCUCUUUGUUCAAACUCCUGACACUUCAAAAUUCUGUCUUUGGAUUGGCCUUUUAAAUACCCCAGUUGAUUGUGUCAUCUGUCAGCAGGUAAAAUUACAGCGGGAAAAUUACAAUUGGGUGGCUGCAUUAAAAUGCUACAGACACACACAUUGUAAGUUUUCCUGAUGCUGAUAUUGCACCUCUGCCUCUACUCCAAACCAGCUUCGAGUUAAUAUUGGAGCCCAGGUCUCUCUGAAGUAACUUCUUUAUGUUCAUAUUUCAGAUAAAGCAACAUUUACUGUAUUUGAUACAUCAUUAUGAUUGGUUAAAAUUGAUUUUGUGCGUGAAGUUAUGUGUUCAGAUCAUUUAAUUUUAUAUUGCGUAGUUUUAUUUAGUUUGAUGACCUAUGCACUUUUGCACUGAUGAUAUUUAAUUUUAUCUU